GGAUUUGUAGUAUAGUAGAGUAUAUUUGAUUGCAGAUCAAGUGGGCGAGAAUCUU
rnacentral:tRNA from 1 species